rnacentral:lncRNA from 1 species
UAGAUAGGGAAGAAGGUAGAUAGAGACAGACCUUGUAGAUCUGUCCUGCUGCAGCCUUUCCUGUAGAUCUAUUGAUGGAGAUCUCAUCUGCACCUCAAACGACCUUAGAUCAACUUCAGAUCUGAGAGAGACUUGUAUCAACCUCUUCGUAAGAGAUUUCAGGUCCUGAACCUGGUGCUUGGGUGGCUGCAAGAGAGGGAGAGAAGAAAAUGGCUGGCGGCUGCAAGAGAGGAGGGGCUAGCGC